rnacentral:rRNA from 1 species
UAAGGAAUAUUGGUCAAUGGGGGCAACCCUGAACCAGCCAUGCCGCGUGCAGGAUGACUGCCCUAUGGGUUGUAAACUGCUUUUAUCGGGGAAUAACCUUCACUACGUGUAGUGAAUUGAAUGUACCCGAGGAAUAAGGAUCGGCUAACUCCGUGCCAGCAGCCGCGGUAAUACGGAGGAUCCAAGCGUUAUCCGGAUUUAUUGGGUUUAAAGGGUGCGUAGGCGGCAUUUUAAGUCAGUGGUGAAAUACGGCAGCUCAACUGUCGCAGUGCCUUUGAUACUGAAGUGCUUGAAUGCGGAUGAAGACGGCGGAAUGAGACAAGUAGCGGUGAAAUGCAUAGAUAUGUCUCAGAACACCAAUUGCGAAGGCAGCUGUCUAAGCCGUAAUUGACGCUGAUGCACGAAAGCGUGGGGAUCGAACAGG